AUCUCCUCAUCCUUCUGUACUGUGUUGUCACUGUCAUAGUAGAUACACACCACGUCCCACACAAAACUAGGGUCAAAAGAAAAUGUAGGCUUAGGGUUAGAAUAACAGCUAGGGUUAGGGCUGAUCAAUGAUGUGGACAUGAAGCUAGGUUUAGGGUUAGGGCUGAUCAAUGAUGUGGACAUGAAGCUAGGUUUAGGGUUAGGGCUGAUCAAUGAUGUGGA